rnacentral:rRNA from 1 species
GCAGUCGUGCGGACUAAGGGGAACCCUUAGUCAGCGGCGGACGGCGGAGUAACACGUGGCUAACCUGCCUCCGAGAUAGGGACAACCAUCCGAAAGGAUGGCUAAUCCCUAAUAUGUCCUGAUGGGGCAUCCUGUCAGGAUGAAAGGGGGCCUCUGGUUUUUCAUGCUCCUGCUCGGAGAGGGGGCCGCGUCCCAUCAGGUAGUUGGUAGGGUAAUGGCCUACCAAGCCUAUGACGGGUAGCCGACGUGAGAGCGUGGCCGGCCCGAGGGGCACUGAGACACGGGCCCCACUCCUACGGGAGGCAGCAGGCUAGAAAUUUGGGCAAUGGGGGAAACCCUGACCCAGCGACGUCAUGUGGGGGAUGAAGCCCUUCGGGGUGUAAACCCCUGUCAGGGAGGAAGAAGGGAUGGUGGGUGAAUAACCCACUAUCUUGACGGUACUCCCAGAGGAAGCCCUGGCUAACCUCGUGCCAGCAGCCGCGGUAAUACGGGGAGGGCAAGUGUUGCCCGGAUUUACUGGGCUUAAAGGGGAUGUAGGCGGUUUGGUGUGUCAGGCGUGAAAUCCACCGGCUUAACCGGUGGGCUGCGUCUGAUACUACCAAACUAGAGGGCGCCAGAGGAGAGUGGAACUCCCGGUGUAGCGGUAAAAU